GCAUAUCAAUAAGCGGAGGAAAAGAAACCAACAGGGAUUGCCUUAGUAACGGCGAGUGAAGCGGCAACAGCUCAAAUUUGAAAUCUGGCCCUCGGGUCCGAAUUGUAAUUUGUAGAGGAUGAUUUUGGUGCGGUAUCUUCCGAGUUCCUUGGAACAGGACGCCUUAGAGGGUGAGAGCCCCGUACGGUUGAAUGCCUAGCCUCUGUAAAUCUCCUUCGACGAGUCGAGUAGUUUGGGAAUGCUGCUCUAAAUGGGAGGUAAAUUUCUUCUAAAGCUAAAUAUUGGCCAGAGACCGAUAGCGCACAAGUAGAGUGAUCGAAAGAUGAAAAGCACUUUGAAAAGAGGGUUAAAUAGCACGUGAAAUUGUUGAAAGGGAAGGAUUUGUGACCAGACUUUUUCUGGGCGGAUCAUCCGGGGUUCUCUCCGGUGCACUUUGCCCAGUAAAGGCCAGCAUCGAUUUUCGGCGGCGGAUAAAAGCAGUGGGAAUGUGGCUCCCUACGGGGAGUGUUAUAGCCCAUUGUAUAAUACGCUGCUGGGGAUCGAGGUACGCGCUUCUGCAAGGAUGCUGGCGUAAUGGUUAUCAAUCACCCGUCUUGAAACACGGACCAAGGAGUCGAACAUUUAUGCGAGUGUUUGGGUGUUAAACCCUCACGCGUAAUGAAAGUGAACGGAGGUGAGAGCCCGUACGGGUGCAUCAUCGACCGAUCCUGAAGUUUUCGGAUGGAUUUGAGUAAGAGCAUAACUGUUCGGACCCGAAAGAUGGUGAACUAUGCGUGGAUAGGGUGAAGCCAGAGGAAACUCUGGUGGAGGCUCGCAGCGGUUCUGACGUGCAAAUCGAUCGUCAAAUCUGCGCAUGGGGGCGAAAGACUAAUCGAACCAUCUAGUAGCUGGUUACCGCCGAA
rnacentral:rRNA from 1 species